UACGAAGGUUGCAAGCGUUGUUCGGAAUCACUGGGCUUAAAGAGCAUGUAGGCAGCUCAUCAAGUGUCUUGUGAAAUCCCCCGGCUCAACCGGGGAAUUGCUCGGCAUACUGUUAGAGCUUGAGGCAGGUAGGGGUGCGUGGAACUCUUGGUGGAGCGGUGGAAUGCGUAGAUAUCAAGAGGAACGCCGGAGGCGAAAGCGGCGCACUGGGCCUGUCCUGACGCUGAGAUGCGAAAGCCAGGGGAGCAAACGGG
rnacentral:rRNA from 1 species